rnacentral:rRNA from 1 species
UGGAUCUAAAAACUUUAACUUAGAACAACUCUCAGCAACGGAUAUCUUGGCUCUUGCAACGAUGAAGAACGCAGCGAAAUGCGAUACGUAGUGUGAAUUGCAGAAUUCCGCGAAUCAUCGAGUUUUUGAACGCAAGUUGCGCCCGAGGCUUGUCCGAGGGC